GUUUUCCAGCAAGAAAAAAAAAAACGUAGAAUCUUACACACAAAAUAGAAAGAAAAAUCACGAGAAAGUUCUUUGAUAUUUAUUAUUUUGGCUGUUUUCGGUUGACGAUGUGCAGUUUCUGAUAUUUGGAUCGAAGAGUCUUGAUUUGAAUUUUACAGUAGUGAAGAGUUUUGGUUAGGGUUGGGGCUUAUUUAAUUGACUGGUUCUUUCUUUUUGGCUUUUUCGGUUUGAUUUGGGUGUUGGAGUUUCAUUUGAUGAUGAUUAUGGCCGAUGGUGGUUCGGGGCCUUGGCCUUGUGGUGAUAUCAGUGGCGUUGACGAGGCUGAUGGCGGCAAUAGCAGUGGGAAUUUGGAAUUGACAAUGGAUAUGGAUGACUUCUUACAUAUUCUUGAAGAACCUGGUGAUCCUUCUCAGGUAGGCUUCCGUUGCUGCUCUUGGAUAAAAAAAAAAUGGGAACUCGAGUUAUGUGGAUAACGUGCCGUUUCAGUCCUUGGAGUCAGCAAUUGUGGGGUUAAGAGUAUAAUUCCGAGAAACUUUGAUUUUGAACUUGAUUACAGUGUGGACAAGUUUCAUAUUCGGAUAAAAAUUGGAUGUAGGUACUAGGUUUUGUGGAUCGAGUAGGCGGCUUCAACUGUUUCUUGAGCUCUAGAUAGAUAAUUUUGUAUGUUUAAUAGUGGUGUAAAUGGGAGUUUCUGUUGGUGUCUCAAGGCCAUCGGGAAUAUACAUCAUCUGAAUGGCUAAUUUCAAGCAAUUCGGGAGAACUCAUUGGAUUUUACAUUUUACAAUCAAUGCAAGAAAGAGAGCCUUUUUUUUUUAAAAAAAA
rnacentral:misc_RNA from 1 species